rnacentral:rRNA from 1 species
UAAGGAAUAUUGGACAAUGGACGCAAGUCUGAUCCAGCCAUCCCGCGUGCAGGAAUAAGGCCCUAUGGGUUGUAAACUGCUUUAGUAUGGAAAUAAAUCGUUGGAUUCAUCCGACGUUGAAGGUACCAUAAGAAUAAGCACCGGCUAACUCCGUGCCAGCAGCCGCGGUAAUACGGAGGGUGCAAGCGUUAUCCGGAUUUACUGGGUUUAAAGGGUGCGUAGGCGGAUUUUUAAGUCAGUGGUGAAAUUCUUAGGCUUAACCAAAGAGCUGCCAUUGAUACUGAAAGUCUUGAAUUCUAUUGAAGUAGGCGGAAUAUAACAUGUAGCGGUGAAAUGCUUAGAUAUGUUAUAGAACACCAAUUGCGAAGGCAGCUUACUAAGUAGAUAUUGACGCUGAGGC